rnacentral:rRNA from 1 species
UCCAGACUCCUACGGGAGGCAGCAGUGGGGGAUAUUGCACAAUGGGGGGAACCCUGAUGCAGCGACGCCGCGUGGGUGAAGGAGUAUUUCGGUAUGUAAAGCCCUAUCGGCAGGGAAGAAGCAAGACGGUACCUGACUAAGAAGCCCCGGCUAACUACGUGCCAGCAGCCGCGGUAAUACGUAGGGGGCAAGCGUUAUCCGGAUUUACUGGGUGUAAAGGGAGCGUAGGCGGUUAGAUAAGUCUGAUGUGAAAGCCCACAGCUUAACUGCGGGAUUGCAUUGGAAACUAUAGAACUAGAGUGUCGGAGAGGUAAGUGGAAUUCCUAGUGUAGCGGUGAAAUGCGUAGAUAUUAGGAGGAACACCAGUGGCGAAGGCGGCUUACUGGACGAUGACUGACGCUGAGGCUCGAAAGCGUGGGGAGCAAACAGGAUUAGAUACCCUGGUA